GCGAAAGUGGCGGAAUUGGUAGACGCGCUGGAUUCAGGUUCCAGUGGGUAACACCGUGGGGGUUCGAGUCCCCCCUUUCGCA
rnacentral:tRNA from 2 species